rnacentral:rRNA from 1 species
GAUGAACGCUGGCGGCGUGCCUAAUACAUGCAAGUCGAGCGAACGGACGAGAAGCUUGCUUCUCUGAUGUUAGCGGCGGACGGGUGAGUAACACGUGGAUAACCUACCUAUAAGACUGGGAUAACUUCGGGAAACCGGAGCUAAUACCGGAUGAUAUUUUGAACCGCAUGGUUCAAAAGUGAAAGACGGUCUUGCUGUCACUUAUAGAUGGAUCCGCGCUGCAUAGCUAGUUGGUAAGGUAACGGCUUACCAAGGCAACGAUGCAUAGCCGACCUGAGAGGGUGAUCGGCCACACUGGAACUGAGACACGGUCCAGACUCCUACGGGAGGCAGCAGUAGGGAAUCUUCCGCAAUGGGCGAAAGCCUGACGGAGCAACGCCGCGUGAGUGAUGAAGGUCUUCGGAUCGUAAAACUCUGUUAUUAGGGAAGAACAUAUGUGUAAGUAACUGUGCACAUCUUGACGGUACCUAAUCAGAAAGCCACGGCUAACUACGUG